UACGUAGGGCGCAAGCGUUGUCCGGAAUUAUUGGGCGUAAAGAGCUCGUAGGCGGUUUGUUACGUCUGCUGUGAAAACCUAGGGCUUAACCCUGGGCCUGCAGUGGAUACGGGCAGACUAGAGGUAGGUAGGGGAGAAUGGAAUUCCCGGUGUAGCGGUGAAAUGCGCAGAUAUCGGGAGGAACACCGGUGGCGAAGGCGGUUCUCUGGGCCAUACCUGACGCUGAGGAGCGAAAGCGUGGGGAGCAAACAGG
rnacentral:rRNA from 1 species